rnacentral:rRNA from 1 species
UACAGAGGGGGCAAGCGUUGUUCGGAAUUACUGGGCGUAAAGGGCGCGUAGGCGGCCUUCUAAGUCGAACGUGAAAUCCCUGGGCUCAACCCAGGAACUGCGUCCGAUACUGGGAGGCUUGAAUCCGGGAGAGGGAUGCGGAAUUCCAGGUGUAGCGGUGAAAUGCGUAGAUAUCUGGAGGAACACCGGUGGCGAAGGCGGCUUGCUGGGCGUGAUCUGACGCUGAGGCGCGAAAGCGUGGGGAGCAAACAGG